rnacentral:lncRNA from 1 species
UGGCCAGAAAUUUGGGACAGUAUGGCCGCUAACUAUGCGCACAACUGACCAAUUUUGCGAAUUCAAGAUGGCGGAAAUGCUAAGAAUUAAUACUAUGAUCAUACAAAUGCGAUGCGCAUGCUGAAACAAAAUAUAAUUUUCAAAGUGUUUACGUCUAGAAAUGUACAAAAUACCUCGACGAGUAUUCCCUGAAACUCUUGACGUGUCACGAUUUGCCAUUAUUCCGCCAGAGUAACUCAAUUUUACAGUAUAAUCUCGUAAUGUAAACUCCUAUUAAGUAGAGUAAAAUCCCCAUUGUUUACCAAGUUCAGGCCAGUGUAGUGUUGCUCCAAGAGUUCGAAGACGAAUUGUUUACGUCUACAUUUCUUGUACGACAGUUGAUCUCUCCUUUUGUAUUGAUUUAGAUUCAUCUCGGCUUGUACGCGCUCCGCCAAACGCAUUUAAAAUAGCAUGUAUUUCAUGAGAUAUGUAAGCUAAUACCAAGUGUUUUGGAGAAAGCACUGCGAAAUCCCAAAACUAUGAACGUUUUAAAAGCGUCGUCGUGGGUUCUUGUCGACCAUUU